GGAAGUAAAAAGUCGUAACAAGGUUUCCGUAGGUGAACCUGCGGAAGGAUCAUUAUUGUAUAACCGAGGUGCGAGGGCUGUCGCUGACCCGAAAGGUCGUGCGCGCCCGAGUGCCCUCACACACAUCCAUCUCACCCCUAUGUGCACCACCGCGUGGGUCCCCCUUUGGCUUGUUCGGAGGGGGGCUUACGUUUUCACACAAACUUUGUAUGCAGUGUAGAAUGUAUUUUUUGUUUUUGCGAUCACGCAAUCAAUACAACUUUCAACAACGGAUCUCUUGGCUCUC
rnacentral:misc_RNA from 1 species